CGCGUAGGUGGUUUGUUAAGCGAGAUGUGAAAGCCCCGGGCUUAACCUGGGAACGGCAUUUCGAACUGGCAGACUAGAGUGUGGUAGAGGGUAGUGGAAUUUCCUGUGUAGCGGUGGAAUGCGUAGAUAUAGGAAGGAACACCAGUGGCGAAGGCGGCUACCUGGACCAACACUGACACUGAGGUGCGAAAGCGUGGGGAGCAAACA
rnacentral:rRNA from 1 species